GAUGAACGCUGGCGGCGUGCCUAAUACGUGCAAGUCGAGCGAACGGACGAGAAGCUUGCUUCUCUGAUGUUAGCGGCGGACGGGUGAGUAACACGUGGAUAACCUACCUAUAAGACUGGGAUAACUUCGGGAAACCGGAGCUAAUACCGGAUAAUAUUUUGAACCGCAUGGUUCAAAAGUGAAAGACGGUCUUGCUGUCACUUAUAGAUGGAUCCGCGCUGCAUUAGCUAGUUGGUAAGGUAACGGCUUACCAAGGCAACGAUGCAUAGCCGACCUGAGAGGGUGAUCGGCCACACUGGAACUGAGACACGGUCCAGACUCCUACGGGAGGCAGCAGUAGGGAAUCUUCCGCAAUGGGCGAAAGCCUGACGGAGCAACGCCGCGUGAGUGAUGAAGGUCUUCGGAUCGUAAAACUCUGUUAUUAGGGAAGAACAUAUGUGUAAGUAACUGUGCACAUCUCGACGGUACCUAAUCAGAAAGCCACGGCUAACUACGUG
rnacentral:rRNA from 1 species